rnacentral:rRNA from 1 species
CGUAGCAAGGUUCGUGGGGACCUGCGGAAGGACAUUAAAGAGUAACUUGGGAGAGAUGUGCUGGCACUGCCAGGCCCCUUCAUUCUCAACUAUUCAUCCAAACCCCUGUGCACCUUUUUAAUGAUGCGAAAGUUGAAAUACUUCCGUGUCUAAAAUAUAUAACCCUAUGAAUAUACUAUUAUUGACGAGUGUAACAAGUUGUAACCUUAAUACAACCAUCAGCAACGGAUCUCUUGGCAUCCCACUCGAUGAAGAACGUAGCGAAUUGCGAUAAGUAAUGUGACUUGCAGAACACAGUGAAUCAUCGAAUCUUUGAACGCACCUUGCACCCUCUAGUAUUCUGGAGGGUAUGCCCGGUUGAGUGUCAUGAAAUUCUCAAAUCUCUGAUUUUGUAAUAAAGUCAUUGAUCUUGGACUUGGGUGUUGUUGGAUGCUUGUCAUUCAACUCGUCCAAAAUAUAUUAGCUGGACUUUACUUCUUUUAAGUCUACCUUUGAUGUGAUAAGUAUUGAUCGUCACUGGUAGUUAAGUCGUAGUCUGCUUUCUAAUUGUCUGUUGACAACAUACUUGACAAUUACACCUCAACUCGGGUAGGACUACGCCCUGAACUUAAGCAUAUCAAUAAGGGCAGGAAAAGAAACUAACAAGGAUUCCCUUAGUAACGGCGAGUGAAGCGGGAAGAGCUCAAAUUUUAAAUCUGACGGUUUCACCGUUCGAAUUGUAAAUUAGAGAAGCGUUUUCUGUGCUAGACCUGUCAUAAGUGAUCUCGAAUGAUCUAUCAGAGAGGGUGAUAAUCCCGUUCAUGGUCAGACCACUAGUACUCUAUGAUGCGCUCUCGACGAGUCGAGUUGUUUGGGGAAUGCAGCUCUAAAUGGGGAGGUAAAUGCCUUCUAAAGCUAAAUACCUUGGGAUGACCGAUAGCGAACAAGUACCGUGAGGGAAAAGAUGAAAAGAACUUUGGAAAGAGAGUUAAACAGUACGUGAAAUUGCUGGGUGGGGAAACGCUUGAAGUCAGUCAUGUCUUCUUGGAUUCAGCCUUACUUUUGUUUGGUGUAUUUCCUUGAUGGCAGGCCAGCGUGCAUUUUGACCAUUGGAAAAAGGCAUAGGAAAUGUGACAGCUUCUGCGGGGUAUAGUCCUUUGUUGUAUACUUUGGUUGGGAUGUAAUAUACCAGCACGCUUUGUGGUGCUAUGUGUUGGGGGAAGGGUUUAACCCCCCUUUAAAAAAGACAAAA